rnacentral:rRNA from 1 species
UACCAGCACCCCGAGUGGUCGGGACGAUUAUUGGGCCUAAAGCAUCCGUAGCCGGUCCUGCAAGUCUUCCGUUAAAUCCAGCUGCUCAACAGAUGGGCUGCGGGGGAUACUACAUGGCUAGGAGGCGGGAGAGGCAAGCGGUACUUUAUGGGUAGGGGUAAAAUCCGUUGAUCCAUUGAAGACCACCAGUGGCGAAGGCGGCUUGCCAGAACGCGCUCGACGGUGAGG